rnacentral:rRNA from 1 species
GACGAACGCUGGCGGCGUGCUUAACACAUGCAAGUGGAGCGACGAACCAGGGGCUUGCCCCUGGGGCAGAGCCGCGAACGGGUGAGUAACACGUGGGUGACCUGCCCUGAUGAUCGGGACAACCCGGGGAAACUCGGGCUAAUACCGAAUGUGCUCACAGCCAUAGAGGGUUGUGAGGAAAGGUAGCUUCGGCUUCCGCGUCAGGAUGGGCCCGCGGCCCAUUAGCUUGUUGGUGAGGUAACGGCUCACCAAGGCUUCGAUGGGUAGCUGGUCUGAGAGGACGAUCAGCCACACUGGGACUGAGACACGGCCCAGACUCCUACGGGAGGCAGCAGUGGGGAAUCUUGCGCAAUGCGCGAAAGCGUGACGCAGCAACGCCGCGUGGGGGAAGAAGGCCUUCGGGUUGUAAACCUCUUUCAGUUGGGACGAAGGUUCGGCGGUGAAUAGCCGUCCGGACUGACGGUACCUUCAGAAGAAGCCCCGGCUAACUACGUGCCAGCAGCCGCCGUAACAC